UCCCGCUUAGCUCAGUGGUAGAGCGCAUCACUAGUAUUACUCAAGCAGCUGCUUAAGUAAAUCAAUGAUGAGGUCAAUAGUUCAAGUCUGUUAGUGGGAA